CAUAUACGCACAGAUCGAAACGGACAUUACCAAUCAAAUUCUAUAAAUUUAUCUUAACUCUAGCUAACUCAGCAAUCUGAUUGGUAUAUAGUGUCUGUUUCGAUCGGGGGCUCGAUUCUUGAAUUCAUUUGCAAGAGAAACGUAUUCGCAAAUUCUGUUCUUGCAGAAAAGUUGGAACCUUAUUGGCUAUCGUAUGACUUUUAACCAAUAAACUUGCACUUUUCUGUUUGAGUGAGUAUUUGCGCGUACGUUUCUCUUGCGAAUAAAUUCAAGAAUUGAGCCCCUGUGCGCUUCCGUUUAAACGUUUUGACAAACAACAAGGAUAAAUAAUGCACCAUGCGUAUUAUACGUAUUAUGAAACGGAACGCAUCCUAAGUGACAUGCAGUGAGGUUAUAUUAUGACAGUUUCAUGAAGAUCGUGCCAUAAAAUGACAGAUAGGGUAAGUGUAUUAAUGUAUCUUUAUAUUUAAAGAAAUUAUAGAAGAAUUAAAAAUAGAACAUUUUCUUUUGUAUUAUAUACAUAAAUAGUCAAACUAAAUUUUUAAAAAUUUAUUCUUCCUAUUUAAUUGUGCUAAUUUUCUUUAUAAUUUCUUUAAAUACAAAGGUACACAAAUAGGUAUAGGAAUACUAACAGGGACACUCCUAUUGCCCUCCUAUCCUGCUCUAGACGAGGCAGAAGAAGUCAAGUCCGGAGAUAAAAUGAAGAAACAAUAAAACGAGAAGAACCUGAAGGUAUAAUAAAGUGUCAAAGAUGCAAGAAAAUUUUGUGUACGAAUUUUGUUUACAUGUAAUGUUUUAUAUUCCUAUGCUCUAUGAUUACAGGAGAAAAGCAUUGAAUAUAAUGAAAAAGAGGAAGAAAAUGACCACAGGCCAGGAAAAAAAAUUAUUAUAAAUAAAGCUGAGGAUAUUAAUUCCAUAUUACCAGUGGCAGGAUUUAUGUCUCCUAGAAUUGCUUCUCCGAUGCAUCCUAGCAGAAGUGGUUUUGGACGAGGAGUAGCAAAUAGUCCAUACAAUUUGCAAACACCUUCAAGAAUGGAUGUUGGUUGGAUAUUUUAAUAAUGGAUAUUAAAAUACGUAUUCGUGACUCUCACACACAUGAUAAUUCUGCUCACUGGACAAUAAGCAAACAUCCAAAGAAUUUCAGUGAAGAUCAUGAAGCUGUCAGCAUUUUACUUUCAAUAGAGAAAAAGUAGUAAAACUUAACACGGACAAGAUAAAAUUUUUGCAAUUGUGUCACUUUAUUGCGUGCUCUCUCCAUUAUAGCGUAGAUUUCUAUUAUUUCAUGAUGAAUCGUCAUGCUUUUUUUGCAUUAGAAUGUCAUUUACACUACUUGUACAUAAUAAAUAAUAUCUUGAGCUGAUCCAUAUACGUAUACAACUCUGUUUCCAAAAUUAACACUGUACGAUGUACGUAACAGACGCUGCUAUUUUUUGUGUUAAUAGCAGUAAUCUUAAAUGUCUGCAUUAAAUUAUUAUUAGUAACUAAUUCAGAUUUUGUAAAAUUUUAGAGUUGCAAAUGUUAAGUUAAAGUAAUUAUGCGUUACCAAAAACCUCUCCAAAUUUAACAUUGAGCUAUUAUUGCACCUAGUUUUCAAAUUAUAAAUAAAUUCUCUAAUACAAACAACGACCAUCUAUUUUAUUCUGUUAUUCUCUACGACACGAGGUGACGUUAAAAUUGUUGAUUAAUAACGUUUUGAACCAACUCAAAUUUCGCACAUGUGGGAUUGAUAUUGCUUAUGCCGAAUGAUCUGAUUUGCCCAAAGAAAUGUCAAAGACAAUCCUGGUUCAUAAUUCGAGGUUUCAAAUGCUUGAAUUCAUACGUUUUCAAAGUUGAUUGACAAACCAUAUUCUUUGUAGCUUCUUUAUUGCCCUUUCCCAGAAUGGAAAAUGCGGUCCGGCUUUAACGUGUCUAUAGAACUAUAGAAGCACUCACUCUGUGUGAGUAGCGCGAUUGUUAAUGAUAGUUUAUGGUCGUGAUGAAUGUUUGUAGGAAUAUGGUUCUAUAGCUAGUAUUUAUAAGGUUUGUUUUUAUUCCUGUACUGCUGCAUUGACGCAAUAAGUUAGAAUAAGACAAAUAUAUAUUUUUUCAUUCUUACU